rnacentral:rRNA from 1 species
UACGUAGGGGGCAAGCGUUGUCCGGAAUCAUUGGGCGUAAAGCGCGCGUAGGCGGCCCGGUAAGUCCGCUGUAAAAGUCCAGGGCUCAACCCUGGAAAGCCGGUGGAUACUGUCGGGCUAGAGUCCGGAAGAGGCGAGUGGAAUUCCUGGUGUAGCGGUGGAAUGCGCAGAUAUCAGGAGGAACACCAGUGGCGAAGGCGGCUUCCUGGACCGGUUCUGACACUGAGGAGCGAAAGCGUGGGGAGCGAUCCGG